AAAACAUGCAAGUCGAACGAGAAAUCUCGGGCAACUGAGAGAGUAAAGUGGCGCACGGGUGAGUAACGCGUGGGUAAUCUGCCUUGGAGUUUGGAACAACACCUCGAAAGGGGUGCUAAUACCUGAUAUUAUUCCCGAGACUCUGGUCUUGGGGAUGAAAGAUGGCUGAGGCUUGCAAGCUAUUGCUCCAAGAUGAGCCCGCGUACCAUUAGCUAGUUGGUAGGGUAACGGCCUACCAAGGCAAUGAUGGUUAGCUGGUCUGAGAGGAUGGCCAGCCACACUGGAACUGAGAUACGGUCCAGACUCCUACGGGAGGCAGCAGUGAGGAAUCUUGCGCAAUGGGGGCAACCCUGACGCAGCAACGCCGCGUGAGUGAUGAAGGCCUUCGGGUCCUAAAGCUCUGU
rnacentral:rRNA from 1 species